rnacentral:rRNA from 1 species
CCUACGGGAGGCAGCAGUGGGGAAUUUUGGACAAUGGGCGAAAGCCUGAUCCAGCAAUGCCGCGUGAGUGAAGAAGGCCUUCGGGUUGUAAAGCUCUUUUGUCAGGGAAGAAACGGUGUGGGCUAAUAUCCUGCACUAAUGACGGUACCUGAAGAAUAAGCACCGGCUAACUACGUGCCAGCAGCCGCGGUAAUACGUAGGGUGCAAGCGUUAAUCGGAAUUACUGGGCGUAAAGCGUGCGCAGGCGGUUUUGUAAGUCUGUCGUGAAAUCCCCGGGCUCAACCUGGGAAUUGCGAUGGAGACUGCAAGGCUAGAAUCUGGCAGAGGGGGGUAGAAUUCCACGUGUAGCAGUGAAAUGCGUAGAGAUGUGGAGGAACACCGAUGGCGAAGGCAGCCCCCUGGGUCAAGAUUGACGCUCAUGCACGAAAGCGUGGGGAGCAAACAGGAUUAGAUACCCUGGUAGUCCACGCCCUAAACGAUGUCUACUAGUUGUCGGGUUUUAAUUAACUUGGUAACGCAGCUAACGCGUGAAGUAGACCGCCUGGGGGAGGUACGGUCGCGAGAAGUUAAAACGUUAAAAGGUAAAGUUAGUACGGCGUGAGACGUGCCGAACGGACGACGACGAGGGAGGAGG